AGAGUCCAGCCAGAGGGGAGGUGUUUAUAGUUUCAAAUGGAGCAUUGCUCAAUGCAAAGUCAUAGCCAGUGAGUAGUACUUCAGUUAAAUUGUUCUCUAGAUAAGAGGAAUGACAAGCAGUUAGGAGGCUUGGAUGAACAAAGGCCCCUUCCUUCACCCAGUCAGUCUCUUUCAGUGUCUAGUCUCUGCCUUUACCUUUACCCCUCUCUUCUUUCACUCCUACCACAGUCUCUGAAUGGGCCCUGUAGUUUUUCCCUAGUCACUUAGACUGAAGAUCAAGGUCAAAGUGAGCUUUUGAACUUUAAAACAGUCAUUAGCAGAAUACACAGUGAUGUACAGAAGUAAGUAGAGCAGGGUUUUAUGUGUUGCUUUCAGUUGCUUGUAUUUACCAAAAGUAUAUUGCUUGAGGUUAAAAUGUUUUCUUUUCUUAGAAAAGUAUAUGUCAUGAAACAGGCAACAUAGUACCAUAUAAGCCAGGCAUGAUGAUACAUAUGUGUCAUCCCAGCAUGGUGUACACCCAUAGUCCUAGUACUCAGAAGGUAAAAGCAGGAAAAUGGAAAUUCAAGGGCAUUUUAAGUCACACUGGGAUUCGAAGCCAGCCCUGCAACAUGAAAUCCUGUAGAACAAGGUAUCAGUUUUAAUAGGCCUCCCUCAGCUCUUACAUCUCUCAGCUAGCUUAAAGAUAUUUAAGGCUCCCUCUACAUACUCUGUUUUCUUCUUCCCUUUAGGAUAGCCCCAUAUUUCCACAUGAAGACAAAAUUAGAACACAUUGUGUCAGUUUUGAUUAUUUAAUCACUAACCAUAAGGACCUGGAAAAAUGCUAACAGGAAUUACAGAUCAGAUUCCAGUAUUUUUAAUCAAGCCAGAUAUAUGCCUAUAACCCCAGCACAGGAGAGUAUAAGGAAAAAGAGUGACCUCCAGGACAGCCUGGGCUACAGAGUAAACCCUGUCUCAAAAACACAAAUGUUAAUGUCUAAAGUACUUUUCAUUUCAAUUCCUGGUAUGAUGAACAACACAGGCUUCUUGUUUAAAAAAAAAAAAAAUACUUCUACAGUUAAUAGAGACCAAUAGCCUUAAAUAUAGGAAGGUACCAGAGUAUCUCAAUAGAGUUUCGUAAUCUCUGAACUACUUAGAUAAGAAAGGUUCCUUUUUUAAAUAGAAAAAUCUAUGGCUGGAGAGAUGGUUCUGGGGUUAAGAGCACUGGCUGCUCUCUCAAAAGACUCAGGUUUGGUUCUCAGUACUCACAUGGUGUCUCAUAACUAUCUCUGACUCCACUGUCAGGGGAUAUGAUGCCUUCUUCUGAUCUCUGAGGGCACCAGCCACACACAUGGCAUGCAGACAUAAAGGCAGACAAAUACUCAGAGAAUAAAAAUAGUUGCUGGAAAAAAAUUAAAAUCUGUUAUCAGUCCCACCAACUAAACAGAAGGGAGACCUUUCUUUAAAGCUGGUAACACUGGAUGCCACCGAGCAGGGCCUUCUUAUAGUAACUUUAUAAAACCUUCUUGGCUUUUUCUAGUUAAGUUCACAGACCCAGAGAGGUUCAUAAAUUUGUCUGAAAUAGAAAAUAAAGGGCAAACUUGUUUGCAGAGAAAUAUCCUUGAGUUGAAAGGCCACAUGCUUCCUCAAAUGUUGGUCUGUCAGCACUGAGCAAGCUCUGCAGUGUGAAAGAAUGGGGAAGUCUCAAGGCCUUCCUUAGAUGGUUAAAAUUAAAAUAUAUGCUUGAUAGG
rnacentral:lncRNA from 1 species